ensembl:lncRNA
GGAAGGGUGGAAGCAGCUGGUUGAUGGAAGCACUCAGCAAUAUGAGCUGCAGAAUCCAAGGCCCAAGCGUCUCUUGCCGAAGCACCUUUCUUCUAGAUUUCAAACUCAUCUGUGUUUCAAAAGCAAUUUGGUUUAAAUGGAAUAUUCCUCUGACUCCUAAUCCAUAGGCAGCUAUAACGUGCAGGCAAUAAAGAGGGUUCCUUGUGAUACACUCACAAGUGUGUGGUGAGCCAGACAUGGACGGGGCUGCCAUGCCGCCAGGGAGGUGGUAGACCAGAAGUCGGACGUCUGAGUCCCUACAAAGAGUCACACCAUGCAGAUUUCCAGAUCUGAGUAUCCAUGUGGUUCCUUCAUUAGGAUCCUAAGACAUCUGGGGACCAGAAAUGGAAGAGACUUCCUUAUGCUGAGUGCCUACCACACGCCUGCAUUGUGCUAAGCCCUUUCCCAUAUGUUAUCUUAGAGAACUCCCCUCCCCCCAACCCCACCAGAAUGGGAUUACUAUUUCCAUUAUACAAAUGAAAAAACAGAAGCUCAGAGAGGUUGACUUACUUGCCCAAGGUCACAUCAGUGGGACGCGGUAGUUCCUGAAUCUGAGUGAAGACAGUGACAUCAUCAAGGGGUGGUUUGAGAGGCUUUCCAUCAUCUCCAGCAGCUGUUCACCCCAACCCCCUCCCCAGUAAACACACAAUCUAAGUAGAAGACCACACAGGGGAGCAAAAUGAAGUUUUGACACGUGGUGCCCUGCCUGUCAUCUCACUUUCAAUGAGAUGGUUCCCCAGAUCCCAUCUACACAGACGUUCUGGAGUCCACCCUGAAUCAAGACCUGUCUGGCUCCAAAACCAUCUUCUUCCCAACACAACCAGGAUGCCUCUUCUCUUAGCUUCCUACCAAAAAGACCUUUGUUUUCUUGAAAGCUUGACCCAGAAGAGCCAACCAAUCAGCGUCGGAUUUUCCUAAUGGUGCCUGCUACCACCAUCUUGCCAGGCCAUCAAAUGCUCCACACUCCCCCGGGGGCUUGACACACUGCAUCCUGGCCGGUAAGCACCCCUGGCGUGAAGAAGCACGGGGCCAGCAGUGUGGACUAGAAUCUCCAGUUACUUUGAAACAUCUACUGGCCAAGAUCCAGUUGAUUUUUCAGUUCCAACUAAUUUUUUUCAGCCUCUACAUGUAGAGACCAGCGGUGUUUAACAUGGCUGUCCUGACGCAGGCCACUCCAACCACCCCUGCCCCCACCCCACUCCACUGUGUGAAAGGGACCCGGGCUUGAUCAGAAGGAAAAUAGUUUUUGGAGGCUAAAUGUUCAGCAGUGAACAUCUCACCACGGACUAGCUGGAAAAUACAGAAAGCUACAGUUCCAAAAUUUCCGAGUCAUCAACCUCCCUGCCUUCCCACAAGUAUUAUUGUUUCAUUUUACAGAUGAGGAACUGGAGGCCCCAGGAAGUUAAGGGCCAGUACGUCAUGGACGUGAUGAGCUCACAUCUGUAGAUUUCACACCCAGCGCUCUUUCCAUCACAUCUGAAGUUGCUUCUUUUACUACCCAGGUCCCCAUCGACAGAGGAAUGGAUAAAGAAGAUGUGGUACAUGUAUACCAUGGAAUAUUAUUCUGCCAUAAAAAAGAAUGAAAUAAUGCCUUUUGCAGCAACAUGGAUGGACGUAGAGAUUCUCAUACUCAGUGAGGUUAGUCAGACAGAGCAAGACAAACAUCAUAUGAUAUCACUUAUAUGUGGAGUCUAAAAAUAGGAACCUUUUUGCAGAACAGAAACAGACUCACAGACUUUGAAAACAAACUUAUGGUUACCAAAGGCGACAGUUGGAAACUGUGACCACAAAAGUGACCGCCACAGUACACUGGAAGAGGCCCUUGCACAACGGGGCUAGGGACAGUGCUCGGGGGUGGCUGUAUCUUUGCAGCACUUGUGAGCUUCAUUCUGGUGGCGUAAGAAUUUCUCAGAGCAUCCACUCAGACCUGGAGAGAGGAUUCCUGGGAGAUAAGCAGCUUCGAAACCUGGCACAUCUCAUUCAUCCGCAUUUCCCUUUCCCUCGGCUGAAGGGCAGCUUCUGACAUCUUUAGAUUCCUCCUUCUUGGCUUUGCAAGAUGUCCUGUAUUUAUCCAAAUUGGUGUCCAGAUCACACACAUCGUCCCCGAAGUCAGAAGUGUUCCCACUAUGGACCACCUUAAGUGUUCCCAACCCAGCGGCAUCACUCAUGAGCUGUGUCACCUUGGGUGUGUUCUCUAACCAGCCUCAGUUUCCUCAUUAUAAAGCAGAGGUCAGAUAGCACUUACCGAAGUUCCCACUGUGGCUCAGUGGAAACGAAUCGACUAGUAUCCAUGAGGAUAGGGGUUCGAUCCCUGGCCUCACUCAGUGGGUUAAGGAUCCAGCAUUGCUGUGAGCUGUGGUGUAGGUCGCAGACAUACUCAAAUCCUGGGUUGCUGCGGCUGUGGUGUAAGCAGGCAGGUGCACUUCCAAUUUGAACCCUAGCCUGGGAACUUCUGCAUGCUGUACGUGUGGCCCAAAAAACAAAAAAAAGAAGAAAAGAUAGCACUUACCUUGGAGUGUUGUUAUGAAGAUAAGACAAGUUAACACACAUCAAGCUCUUAAAACAAAUCUGGGUACCAUGCUUGCUCUCGCCACUGUCCAGGUGGCUCCUCUUUCUCUUGGUCUCCACUCUGCACAAAACGGUUUGAUAUUUGAAGUCAUCAGAUUCUCAAUGGCCAGGCAGGCUGAUUGGCCUACAGGGUGUGUGUACCGUGCUCUCUUCCUUUUCUGGAACUGAGGGGCAUCACCCAAGUUUAUGUACCCCCCAUACCUGGGGGUGAAUGUAGCAUCUUAACCCACGCCCCUGCCCCUCCACCCUGGGGAGAGCACUUAGUAAACAGAAACAGAUUCCUGAGACCCUUACAGCCACAUAUGGUUUGCAACUGCUUGAAGAAUUGGGUGAUGCUCCGUGUUAUUGACCACAGCCUAAAUCGUGCCUCCCUGCAGCCAUCUUACUGCUGCCUGGAUGGAAAGUCAGCAUGCCU